rnacentral:rRNA from 1 species
UACGUAGGUGGCGAGCGUUGUCCGGAUUUACUGGGCGUAAAGAGCGCGCAGGCGGUCGUUCAAGUCGCGUGUGAAAGCCCCCGGCUCAACUGGGGAGGGUCACGCGAUACUGAUCGACUCGAAGGCAGGAGAGGGAGGUGGAAUUCCCGGUGUAGUGGUGAAAUGCGUAGAUAUCGGGAGGAACACCAGUGGCGAAGGCGACUUCCUGGCCUGUUCUUGACGCUGAGGCGCGAAAGCUAGGGGAGCAAACGGG